UGCCAGCAGCCGCGGUAAUACGGAGGGGGCAAGCGUUAAUCGGAAUCACUGGGCGUAAAGCGCACGUAGGCGGCUUGGUAAGUCAGGGGUGAAAGCCCACAGCCCAACUGUGGAACUGCCUUUGAUACUGCCAGGCUUGAGUACCGGAGAGGGUGGCGGAAUUCCAGGUGUAGGAGUGAAAUCCGUAGAUAUCUGGAGGAACACCGGUGGCGAAGGCGGCCACCUGGACGGUAACUGACGCUGAGGUGCGAAAGCGUGGGUAGCAAACAGGAUUAGAUA
rnacentral:rRNA from 1 species